AUUGAACGCUGGCGGCAUGCUUUACACAUGCAAGUCGAACGGUAACAGGCCGCAAGGUGCUGACGAGUGGCGAACGGGUGAGUAAUGCAUCGGAACGUGCCCAGUCGUGGGGGAUAACGCAGCGAAAGUUGCGCUAAUACCGCAUACGAUCUAUGGAUGAAAGCGGGGGAACGUAAGGCCUCGCGCGAUUGGAGCGGCCGAAGUCAGAUUAGGUAGUUGGUGGGGUAAAGGCUCACCAAGACGACGAGCUGUAGCUGGUCUGAGAGGACGACCAGCCACACUGGGACUGAGACACGGCCCAGACUCCUACGGGAGGCAGCAGUGGGGAAUUUUGGACAAUGGGCGCAAGCCUGAUCCAGCAAUGCCGCGUGCAGGAAGAAGGCCUUCGGGUUGUAAACUGCUUUUGUACGGAACGAAACGGUCCUGGUUAAUACCCGGGGCUAAUGACGGUACCGUAAGAAUAAGCACCGGCUAACUACGUGCCAGCCGCCGCAGUAACAC
rnacentral:rRNA from 1 species